CCUGGUUAGUUUUGCUGGUUUGCUGUCAGCGUUCGUAUCGUUGCUGUGCAAAUCCAUGCAAAACUGAUCAUAGC
rnacentral:pre_miRNA from 1 species